rnacentral:rRNA from 1 species
GCAUAUCAAUAAGCGGAGGAAAAGAAACCAACAGGGAUUACCUUAGUAACGGCGAAGUGAAGCGGUAACAGCUCAAAUUUGAAAUCUGGGUCUUUUAGGCUCCGAGUUGUAAUUUGUAGAAGAUGCUUUGGGUGCGGCCCCGGUCUAAGUUCCUUGGAACAGGACGUCAUAGAGGGUGAGAAUCCCGUAUGUGAUCGGUGGCUUGCGCCCGUGUAAAGCUCUUUCGACGAGUCGGGUUGUUUGGGAAUGCAGCUCUAAAUGGGUGGUAAAUUUCAUCUAAAGCUAAAUAUUGGCCAGAGACCGAUAGCGCACAAGUAGAGUGAUCGAAAGAUGAAAAGCACUUUGGAAAGAGAGUUAAACAGUACGUGAAAUUGUUGAAAGGGAAGCGCUUGCAACCAGACUUGCGCGGGGUUGAUCAUCCGGGGUUCUCCCCGGUGCACUCGGCCUCGCUCAGGCCAGCAUCGGUUUUGGUGGUUGGAUAAAGGCCUUGGGAAUGUGACUUCUUUCGGGGAGUGUUAUAGCCCUCGGUGCAAUGCAGCCUACCGGGACCGAGGACCGCGCUUCGGCUAGGAUGCUGGCGUAAUGGUUGUAAGCGACCCGUCUUGAAACACGGACCAAGGAGUCUAACAUCUAUGCGAGUGUUUGGGUGUCAAACCCAUACGCGUAAUGAAAGUGAACGGAGGUGAGAACCCUUAAGGGUGCAUCAUCGACCGAUCCUGAUGUCUUCGGAUGGAUUUGAGUAAGAGCAUAGCUGUUGGGACCCGAAAGAUGGUGAACUAUGCCUGAAUAGGGUGAAGCCAGAGGAAACUCUGGUGGAGGCUCGCAGCGGUUCUGACGUGCAAAUCGAUCGUCAAAUUUGGGCAUAGGGGCGAAAGACUAAUCGAACCAUCUAGUAGCUGGUUCCUGCCGAA